UUCCCAUUCAUUUCGAAAAGCUUUGUGUUCACAAUGGGACCAUGCUCCUCCAAAUGAGCAACUAUCUCUUCUUCCGUCACGUCCUGGGGCAGGCUUGACACGUGGAUCAUCUUCGUGGGGGAGCAACAGUACCGGUAGUUCUUGGCUGCAUUCCGGUUAAAACGGUUGAGAUUUGAGUUUGAGUAGUCGCGGGUCUCUGGUCCGGUGUUAAUAUUUGGGUACUUGGAAUAGUUCACUUCCAACCGCUGGCCAAAUAACAUGGCACCCUUCAAAAAGUGCACAGCCAGCUCUGCUUGGAAGCCAUCGCCCAUCUGAACAAGAGCAUGAUCUGGUUUAUUCCGUAAAUGUUUAAUUCUGACAAUGUUCCCAUAAAUGGAGAACAGAUUAAAAAGCUUGUCCUCGUCUAUUCUAUCUGGAUUUACAUUAGAUACAAUAAUAGUACACCUGUCAUUCAUCCCGCUUAUGCCAGGGGGCAAACCGCUAGGAAAGGCAGCUGCAAUAGCUGCAGCAUUUCCCAUCUGAGGAAAUCCAACUCCACGAGGCCCAGAACCUUGCCAGGGGUACAGGGCUCCAGCAUCUCCAUAUCCUUGUUGAGGAGAUUUGCCCUUCGGCUCUGAUGGUAGAUUUGGG
rnacentral:misc_RNA from 1 species